rnacentral:tRNA from 1 species
GCCCUCGUAGCGCAGCGGGACAGCGCGCCAGGCGGCGAACCUGGAGGCCGGGAGUUCGAAUCUCUCCGAGGGCA